GUUUCUAAAACUGUUUGAAUGGUGUCUGUGAGUAUAACAGAACUCAUUUGGCAGGCCAAAACCUGAGAAGAUUCCAAACAGGAAGCGCUCUCACUGACCAUUUCAUGGCCUUCUUGAUCAUCUCUAACCAAAACAGGGGAUCUCUGGCAUGAAGUGACAUUUUCUAACGCUCCCAUAGGCUCUCAGAAGGCGCCAGAAAGAUGAAUGGUGGCUUUACAGGCCCUGGCUGAAACACAUUAGCGCGUUUAGCAAGUGCUCUAUCAGAGGGCCAUCAGACUGAGGCUCGUGCAUGAGGGGAUAGCAUGCUUUUACUUUCACUCUCUUUGUAUUAAAAAACGAUUUCCCGGUCGGAAUAUUAUGGCAUAAAAUGGCAUAAAAAUAGAUUUUAAACAGCGGUUGACAUGCUUCGAAGUACGGUAAUGGAAUAUUUAGAAUUUUUUGGUCACGAAAUGCGUCGUGCUCGUCACCCUUAUUUACCCUUUCGGAUAGUGUCUUGAACGCACGAACAAAACGCCGCUAUUUGGAUAUAACAAUGGAUUAUUUGGGACCAAACCAACAUUUGUUAUUGAAGUAGAAGUCCUGGGAGUGCAUUCUGACGAAGAACAGCAAAGCAGCCUUAAUCUACGUCCAAGUCAUCGGAGCCCAGGGAUCAGUUGUUGUGGGGGUUAAGUGCCUUGUUCAAGGGCAGAACGGCAGAUUUAUCCACCUUGGGGUUCAAACAAGAAACCUUUUGGUUACUGUCCCAACGCUCUAACCGCUAGGCUACCUGCCACCCUAAUAGCAGUUAGCCUAACAAAUACUGUAGCCCUCUCGACUGCACUUAUUAAGCUUGUGGAUGGACAGAGAGGGUCUGGCAGCUGCCUUACGAAGGAGAGAGAGACACAUACACACACACUCACAGCUCCUAAUGAGAUGCACAGUGUCAAUGGCCCUCCCUUUCUGAAGAGGGAAGAAGAAAAGGACUCUUUCUCUCUUUCUCACCCCUCUUCCGCUUCGCUCUGUCUUCUAUUCCCUUAUCCCUCCCUCUCUCUCCAUCUCCUGCCCUACUCCCCAGCUAGCGAAGGCUUUUGUUCAGACGCCAGAUGAUAACCCAAAUGCCCCAGCGCAGCCGGCCCUUUCAGCCACAUUCACCAGUCUACCCUCAAGUCACAAGUCAUCACAACUGGGCAGCUGAAUGCAUCAUGUGACAACGGCAACCAUGGCAGGAUUUUGAUGAUGGCAGGGGUACUUGUAAUUGUUGUGGACGUUGCAAGACCGGACUGUUCCAUUAGUGAUGAAAAUAUAUACGAUUAGUUUGAUGGUUAGUGGGCCUGAGACACUUUUUUAAAGUAGAAGAUGUGUAGAGAGCAGCCUCUAAAAUACUUUUCUUUCACGGUUGAGAAAUUGAUGUAUGUCAACCUGUUCAGCACUAUGAGGACACAGAUGAACUGCGCUCAAGUUCUUAGCCUCUCUGGGAUAUGUGGGACGCUAGUUGUUAAUCCAGCCACAGUGUCUGAUUUCAAAAAGGCUUUUUUGCAAAAGCACACUAUGCGAUUAUGUUAGGUCAGCGCCUAGCCACAGAAAACCAUACAGCCAUUUUCCAAAGAAGGAGAGGUGUCACAAAAGACAGAAAUUAAAAUUAAUCACUAACCUUUGAUGAUCUUCACCGGAUGGCACUCCCAGGACUCCAUGUUAGACAAAUGUGUGUUUUGUUCGAUAAAGUUCAUCUUUAUGUCCAAAAACCUCAUUUGAAAUUGCCACAUUAUGUUCAGAAAUGCAUUGUCUUAAACAUACAUCCGGUGAAAGUGCAGAGAGCCACAUCAAAUUACAGAAAUACUCAUCAUAAACAUUGAUGAAAGAUACAAGUGUUUAACUCUUUAGGGAUAGGGGGCAGCAUUGGGAAGUUUGGAUGAAAAGAGUGCCCAGAGUAAACUGCCUGUUACUCAGGCCCAGAAGCUAGAAUAUGCAUAUAAUAGUUGUUUUUAUCAUAAAUCUUCAAUAAUAUUCCAACCGGACAAUUCCUUUGUCUUUAGAAAGGAAAGGAAACGGAGCUCGCGCUCACGGCAACACGCGAUAAACAAUUCAAGGCUUUCAGCCAGACCCCUGGUUCAAACAGCACUUAUUCGCUCCCCUUUCACAGUAGAAGCCUGAAACAACAUUCUAAAGACUGUUGACAUCUAGUGGAAGCCUUAGGAAGUGCAAUCUGGCCCCAUAGACACAGUAUAUUGGAUAGGCAAUCACUUAAAAAAAAUACAAACCUCAGAUUUUCCACUUCCUGGUUGGAUUUUUCUCAGGUUUCUGCCUGCCAUAUGAGUUCUGUUAUACUCACAGACAAUAUUUUAACAGCUUUAGAAAGUUUAGAGUGUUUUCUAUCCAAAUCUAUCUAUUAUAUGCAUAUUCUAGCUUCUGGGCCUGAGUAGCAGGCAGUUUACUCUGGGCACCUUAUUCAUCCAAGCUACUCAAUACUGCCCCAUGUUCCCAAAUUAGUUAGUUACUUUAAUAGCGCCCAAGCCCUCUGCAGGACAAGAAGAGAACUGCACGGUUGGUCUCAUUUUUAUCUCAUCCAACUCUUUAUGUACUGUACUUUAUGUAAGAUUAUAAACUGGGUGGUUCGAGCCCUGAAUGCUGAUUGUCUGAAAGCUGUGGUAUAUCAGACUGUAUACCUUUUCAUUGCUCUAAUUAUUUUGUCAACCGGUUUAUAAUAGCAAUAAGGUACCACGGGGUUUUUGACAUGUGGCCAUAUACCACACCCACUCGGGCCUUAUUGCUGAAAUAUAACCUGAU
rnacentral:lncRNA from 1 species